AUUUGUUUCUGUACAUUGUUCUCUGUAAAGUACAAAGGGCGAGCUGAAGGGGUCGACGACAAGGAUGAAAAAAAAGAACAAAACAUUAUCCAGGUAAAAAUUUUGAAGAGGGGAGUAAUCUUUUUUAUUCCGGUUAUUAAAACCAAAUUAAUUUCGGUACUGAAAAGUAAAUUGGUAAGGGGAAGAUGAAAGAGUGUAGCAUAUAUGCGUGAGCGAUUUGAGCAUUAUUGUCUAGCAAAUAAAAAAUUUUUAUUUCUUAUUUUCUUUGUGAAGCCAAGGCAUAUUACACGUAAGACUUCCUAGUGGGACGAACGUAACUCACAUUUUUAGGACGACAAAGGACAACCAGAAAAUUGAGCCAUAUGCUGUCAUGAAAAGGAUGUACAUCUUCAGUUUCUGUACUCUUUGCUCGUAAGUAUUCAUGAACAUUCUGACCAACAGAUAUUAAAUAGCACUGGUAACAGAAAAGGAUGCCAGGAAGUAUUGCUCCAAGUGCCCCAUAAAUGCCAAGGAAGAAAGAUACGCCAGCCCAUGGACGACGAAGAUGCGCCGCAAAAUUUGUAUCUGUGGAUUCAUGAAAACUUCCUAUAGAAGUAUAGAACCCCAAUCCAGUUAGAUACAAAGCUGAAAGAACGACAGAUAACAAAAAAAUAAAAUAAUAUCUGUAGUUUCGACGACCAAUGCAAGUGUUUAACCAAAUGCAGUGAUGAUCAAGGUAUUCAACACAAUUAUCACAUAAAUGACAAUGGCUUGCACGUGGAGGACGAUAUAAGUGGCACGUAUGGCAAUAAACUGUAUUAACAAAGACAGAGUCAGACCGAGUGGAUCCAACAAGGACUUUACGGUCUUCAGGAAUUACAGACCAGGGAUGGGCAGGGUUAUAAGUUAAAGAAUAUGCAUUUCUAGGAAGAAUUCCUGGAUCAGCAGUCGAGCACUUGAACAUGGAAACAACGGCUAAGGCAUACAGGUAAGCAAAGGUAAUAGGGACAGCGGGAGAGACAUGAUGCCAGAGCCAAAAAGCAGAAAAGAUGAAGAAAAGGACUCCUGGAAGAAUCAAGGCAAACAAGCUAAUGAGGAAAGCUUUGUACUGAGAUGACAUUUGCAAUCGACCACAACAUAAAUAGAUAUUGUUUCCUGGUAAAUUCUUAUAUCGGCUUUCAAUAUGCGGUACUUCCGGAACAUCAUCAGGAACGGAUUGAAAUCUAUAAGGAAUUUGGUUCUUUUCUUCCAAAUUCAUGGGAUACGUUGGAUCAGACAAAGUCACCUCAAAUGGAUUCCAUGGCUGAUUCCACGCGUAGCGGGAUGCCUUAGCAUCACUGUGUUUCUCAUAGCUCAUGAUUAUAUUCUCUAAACAACAAACAUGGCAAAGAAACAGCUAUUUUUACACCUGGUAUUAUAUCUUGUAGUUUUGUUGUCGGUAAGGAUAUGAACCCCUUUUGCGAUGGAGGGUGAAGUAAAUAUUAGCAUCCGCCAAAGUUUGUUUACUAAGCAAAUAAAGAAAUCAAAAUAAAUAAACAAUUAGAGAAUGUGACUCUAAUAACUAAUAUUUGGAAUGGCGCCUAUUUAAUCGAUGAGAGUGUAUUAAAAAGAGAAGGGAAAUAAAAACAGAAUAUGAAAUGAAAUGCUAAAAAAAAAAAUACUAACCGAAGA
rnacentral:lncRNA from 1 species